UAUUUUUAUUAUGCUACAUACGCGUUACCGAGAUGAACCCAACAAUCACAACAAAGCAAUAAAUAAAUACUAACCACAAGAUUGAAUGGGUGGGAUGAUGCCUCGAGAGGGGGGGGGGGGGGGGUGGUCUUUUCCUCUGCCGUCGCACAACAAGUAGGGGAGGUAGGGUUUGUUAUGUUAUAAUAAGGGGACCGUUCUCCUGUGCCGUGAUGCUUUUGAAGAAUCAGUCAAGAUGACAAAUGUUGCAGCAUGAAAAUAGUUUCAGAUGUCUACUUGCUAUUAUCUUGCCUUUGAUGCAUUCAGUAACUGUUUAAUACUUUUAUAUUAAUUCCAUAUGAAGUCUUGCUAGUUUUGAAGUGCCUAUAUUGUUGAAUGUUAUUAUGAAUGUGAUUUUAAAUCUAGUUGUUUGAAAAUACUUACAAGAAGCAGAUUUCCUUCAUAUUAGUGAUUGUAGGAAUUGAAUUUGUACCCUUUUCUAAUGUUUCAGUUAAUGAGGGGAGAAUCAGGAUCAUGUGCCAGACGCAUUCUGAUGAAAAAAGUGAUUUUUAUACUUAUACUUUUGUUCUUGUCUUGGAUGUUAUUGCAUCUUGUUUCUGAUGAAUAAAGUGAUUGUUAUGCUU
rnacentral:lncRNA from 1 species